UACGUAGGGGGCAAGCGUUGUCCGGAAUCAUUGGGCGUAAAGGGCGCGUAGGCGGCCUACUAAGUCAGACGUGAAAUCCCCAGGCUUAACUUGGGAACUGCGUCUGAUACUGGAAGGCUUGAGUGCGGGAGAGGGAUGUGGAAUUCCAGGUGUAGCGGUGAAAUGCGUAGAUAUCUGGAGGAACACCGGUGGCGAAGGCGGCAUCCUGGACCGACACUGACGCUGAGGCGCGAAAGCUAGGGGAGCAAACGGG
rnacentral:rRNA from 1 species